rnacentral:rRNA from 1 species
UACGGAAGGCAGCAGUAGGGAAUAUUGCGCAAUGGGCGAAAGCCUGACGCAGCGACGCCGCGUGAGUGAUGAAGGCCUUCGGGUCGUAAAGCUCUGUUGUAGGGGAAGAAAAAUGACGAUACCCUAUAAGAAAGGAUCGGCUAACUUCGUGCCAGCAGCCGCGGUAAUACGGAGGGUGCGAGCGUUAAUCGGAAUUACUGGGCGUAAAGGGCACGCAGGCGGUUAAUUAAGUUGGAUGUGAAAUCCCCGGGCUUAACCUGGGAAUGGCAUUCAAGACUGGUUAGCUAGAGUCUUGUAGAGGGGGUAGAAUUCCAUGUGUAGCGGUGAAAUGCGUAGAGAUGUGGAGGAAUACCGGUGGCGAAGGCGGCCCCUGGACAAAGCUGACGCUCAUGUGCGAAAGCGUGGGGAGCAAACAGGGAUUAGAUACC